GAUGAACGCUAGCUACAGGCUUAACACAUGCAAGUCGAGGGGAAACGACAUCGAAAGCUUGCUUUUGAUGGGCGUCGACCGGCGCACGGGUGAGUAACGCGUAUCCAACCUGCCCACCACUUGGGGAUAACCUUGCGAAAGUAAGACUAAUACCCAAUGAUAUCUCUAGAAGACACCUGAAAGAGAUUAAAGAUUUAUCGUUGGUGGAUGGGGAUGCGUCUGUUUAGCUUGUUGGCGGGGUAACGGCCCACAAAGGCUACGAUCAGUAGGGGUUCUUGGAGGAAGGUCCCCCACAUUGGAACUGAGACACGGUCCAAACUCCUACGGGAGGCAGCAGUGAGGAAUAUUGGUCAAUGGACGGGAGUCUGAACCAGCCAAGUAGCGUGCAGGAUGACGGCCCUAUGGGUUGUAAACUGCUUUUAUAAGGGAAUAAAGUGAGUCUCGUGAGACUUUUUGCAUGUACCUUAUGAAUAAGGACCGGCUAAUUCCGUGCCAGCCGCCGCGGUAA
rnacentral:rRNA from 1 species